rnacentral:rRNA from 1 species
GAUGAACGCUGGCGGCGUGCCUAAUACAUGCAAGUCGAGCGAACAGACGAGGAGCUUGCUCCUCUGACGUUAGCGGCGGACGGGUGAGUAACACGUGGAUAACCUACCUAUAAGACUGGGAUAACUUCGGGAAACCGGAGCUAAUACCGGAUAAUAUAUUGAACCGCAUGGUUCAAUAGUGAAGGACGGUUUUGCUGUCACUUAUAGAUGGAUCCGCGCCGCAUUAGCUAGUUGGUAAGGUAACGGCUUCCAAGGCGACGAUGCGUAGCCGACCUGAGAGGGUGAUCGGCCACACUGGAACUGAGACACGGUCCAGACUCCUACGGGAGGCAGCAGUAGGGAAUCUUCCGCAAUGGGCGAAAGCCUGACGGAGCAACGCCGCGUGAGUGAUGAAGGUCUUCGGAUCGUAAAACUCUGUUAUUAGGGAAGAACAAAUGUGUAAGUAACUAUGCACGUCUUGACGGUACCUAAUCAGAAAGCCACGGCUAACUACGUG